rnacentral:lncRNA from 1 species
UUAAAGCCGAUACAUGAACUUCUGACUUUCCCAUUUAAACAUUUAAACUCUUGAAUCGUAAAACUAAUAAACAUAUUUGACCAUUGACCCAUCCUAUGUGGUGUCAGUUGGUCCUAUUCAGCCCCUUGCUUGAACUUCACGAAUUCCCAACGCGUGAGAGAACCUUAUUGUUUUCCAAAAAAAAUGUCUUUUAUAGGAGAAUUGGUUUAGGUCACUAAUAUGUACCUAAACAUAGUCCAGCAAUAAAAUCACAUGUUCAUUUU